rnacentral:rRNA from 2 species
GUCGGUCCCAAGGGUUGGGCUGUUCGCCCAUUAAAGCGGUACGCGAGCUGGGUUUAGAACGUCGUGAGACAGUUCGGUCCCUAUCCGCUGUGCGCGUAGGAAUAUUGAGAAGGGCUGUCCCUAGUACGAGAGGACCGGGACGGACGAACCUCUGGUGUGCCAGUUGUUCUGCCAAGGGCAUGGCUGGUUGGCUACGUUCGGGAGGGAUAACCGCUGAAAGCAUCUAAGCGGGAAGCCUGCUUCGAGAUGAGUGUUCCCACCUCCUUGAGAGGGUAAGGCUCCCAGUAGACGACUGGGUUGAUAGGCCGGAUAUGGAAGCCCUGUAAGGGGUGGAGUUGACCGGUACUAAUAGGCCGAGGGCUUGUCCUCAGUUG